rnacentral:misc_RNA from 1 species
GUUGGUGAACCAGCGGAGGGAUCAUUACCGAGUUUUCUACUCCCAAACCCCUGUGAACUUAUACCUUUACCGUUGCUUCGGCGGGUUAACGCCCCGGAAAGGCCCCCGAAAGGGAGCCGCCCCGGAACCAGGCGCCCGCCGGGGGACCCAAACUCUUGUAUUUUCUUACCUAGCAUGUCUGAGUGGAAUCAUAAACAAAUGAAUCAAAACUUUCAACAACGGAUCUCUUGGUUCUG